UAUAUAUAUACACACACACACAUACAUAUAUAUAUAUGCUUAUUGUAAAAAAUAUAUUGGAGGCCAGGCACGGUGCUCACGCUUGUAAUCCCAGCAUUUUGGGAGGCCAAGGCGGGCGGAUCACGAGGUCAAGAGAUCGAGACCACCCUGGCCAACAUCGUGAAACCCCAACUCUAUUACAAAUAAAAAAGAUUAUCUGGGCGUGCUGACGCGUGCCUGUAGUCCCAGCUGUUCAGGAGGCUUAGGCAGGAGUAUCGCUUGAACCUGGGAGGUGGAGGUUGCAGUGAGCCGAGAUCGUGCCACUGCACUCCAGCCUGGGACAGAGCGAGACUCCGUCUCAAAAAAAAAAAAAAAUUGGAAAACCCGGAAAAUAAAAACAGCCAUAAUCUCUCCCUACUAACCCCCACUCCCAAAAAACCAGUUAUAACAUGUUGACGGGUUUCCUUCCUGUCUUUGUUCUAUUUGUUGAUAUCAUUUGACCUUGUUCAUAUUGUGGAGGGAGAGCCCGUUCCUUAGGGUUUUGCUGUAAAGGUCGAUGGAUCCAGCAAUUCACAAGAAAAUAAUUACACUUUACAUUUGUCUAACUGUUUUAAUUUAUCAAAGCACAUUGACAUGCAUUAUCUCAUUUGGUGAUCACAUCAGAUAGGCCAUUUAUCAGGAUAUUAAAAUCAAUCGGGAGAGAGGGGACCUUGUCCCAUACCCCAUGGCUGGGGAGGCUCAGAGCCAGGAUUUGAGGUUUCUAAAUUUCGUAUCUAGAGAUUUGUCCCCUACAAUAAUUUUUAUUUUUCUAUCCAAUUAAAGUCUAUAUAUCUAUGCACAGAAAUUCCGUUUGAGACCUAGGACUUCUACUUCCUGUGGUUUAUUUUUGCGCCAUAGAGCACAUUUGUAUUUAAUGUGUCUUCUGAACUACCAGCCUGGGAACUUUGCCAUCAUCACAUGCACAGCGGCAGUUUGCUCACCAUGCACCAGUGAGCUUCCUCCGCCGCCUGAGCAGCUGGGCUUGGUCCCUGGCAGCAGGCAUCUGGGGCAUGUAGCUGCCUCUUCAGCUGUCCUGCCAACAGAAGAAACUUACCUCCCAUCAUCUCCCUGAGUGCCUGCCUCAGCCGCCUUGUAUGUAUUCAUUGCUGUGUCUAUAAUAAAUCAGCGGGUCCUUGCUGGAAGCUUGGACGUUUCAAUGGAGAGCUUUCCAAACACCUACAGCACCCUUUUGAAUGCAACUGGAAGUAUUGGUGCCUCAGGAGCUACACAAGCCUGAACCACCUGCUAUUUACCAGAUGUAUGAGCUUGGGCCAUUCCCUUACCCCAUGGGGGGUUCGCAGCUUCCAACAUGUAAAAUAGCAGUCAUAGUGCCAACUUCUUCACAUUGUAAGUGAUGAAUAAGAUAGCAUGACAACUGCCUGCCUGGUCCACAUGGGAGCUGGGCCACUGUUCUGUCCUCCCUUUCAUGCUGCCACUCCCAUGAUGCUGGCAGAUGUGACCAAUGCUCCUGCCUGUUCAGGUGAUGAUGGCUAUGAGGAAACAAAGAACACAGCUGCUCACUGGCUUCCAUGCUGAUGCUCCCAGGCAGCCACUUCUCCCCUUAGUUCGGGAUUGUUUUUAAAUUUUUUCCAUUUUGGGUAAUAUUUAGUCUCCACAUGAUCAUUCUUACAGAUCUUUAUUGAGUACAAGUGUAUGGGGCAGGAAACAAUGGGGAGGAUUUUAGGUUUUCCAUGGUUCAGUGGAGAAGCAGCCCUCUUCCCAUCAGCAAACACUAUUUUUAUCCUUAGGAGUCCUGUUGUUAUUCUCUGUGCACGUUGGAGGAAGUCAGUUUGAGAGAGAAAACUUCUGUUUCCGGCACUUUCAUUUUCUUUUAUAUCAAAUAUCUUGUAUCUUCUAUUCAUUUCAAGGUGUAGAUCUGGGACCUGUGCCAUCCUCAAAUGUGUGGGCAGAGUUUUGUUUUGGUUUGGUUUUUCACCGAGCACCAGCUUCCUCUGUUGCCUGAACAGCUGUGUUUGGUUCUUGGCAGCAAGUGUCUUCUGGAGCUUAGAACUGCCUUGCUAGGAGCAUGUGUAGAGUGUCUUGAAUGAAAAAUAAACCUUGGAAAAUUUGUUUCUUGCCAUUAAGAAGCAUUUGGUAGCUAUAUAUGUUGGGUGCCUAACAAGUACAAGAAAUUUCUAUAUUUUAGUUAUAACAGGGGUUCACCUUCAUCUACAACGUGAGAAGUGAUAGUUAGAACAAUGGAACUGAUGGACAACAGCAGCUUAUUUGUGACUUCUAGUCUUUAUUCCAAAAUGUUUAUUAAACUUAACUGUAUACAAAAUUAUGGGUGACAGCAUGAAUAUCAGGCAUGGAGGGGAGAAAGUACAGGGAUUUGCCUCAAGGACAAAUUUGAAUAAGACAGUUGGGAUUUUAUUUGCAAAGAGUUAGGAGCUGCUGAAGGUGUUUAAGCAAACACAGAAGGUGAUCAAAAUGGUGCCUUAGGGAAAUUAAUCAGGCAAUAAUGAAUGGGGUGAAUUGAAGAGGGAGAAAGAAGGGAAGGAAUCAGGAGACAAUUAUAAUAAGAUAUGACUUGGGGCCACUGGAGAGAAUGAGAACAGAGCCUGAGUGAGAUGAUAGACGUUGUGCUGUGGAUCAGUGGUUGGGGCCAUGGCUCCUGGGUAUCCGGGGGUAAAAUCCUCCAGUCCUGCCAAUAUCCCAUAACUUCCAAAUCUUUAUCUCUAGCCCAUUUCUCUCUCUUCAGCACCAGGCCCGUUUACAUUCCACUGAAAAAUAUUAUUCAAAAUGCCUGAAACAGAACUACUCAUCAUCACUCCCCAAACUGCUCCUUCACUUCUGUCACCAGAUCCUUUUAAUUCUUUUUCUUGACCGAUAACGUCUCUAAGGUAAGCAGUUAAACACAUCUUUCUCUCCUGCAGCUUAUGAACUGACUGCAAAACAAGCAUGGGUCAGUUGGCAGUGGGGUGCAUGUGAAUGUUUAGCAGCCGACUCGCAGAGUUCCAGAACAUUUAGCCAUGGGUUCUUGUGAGCUGGCAGCAGCUGACUCCAGCACACCACUGUGACCAGAGUCACAAGAUCAGCUUUAUUACUGGUAAACUGGAGAAUGUGGCUUGAUGCUUUAGCUCCAACCUUCCAGACAUCUAUUACUGAAUUGAGAAGUUUAUGAUACAAUAAUACUAUCAUGACACACUGGUAAUAAUAGUCAUCUCUAAAGAUGUUAGGCUUUGUGAAAUGCUUUACCAUUUAUCCUCACAUUCUUCAGAAGGCCCUGGAAGAUGUUUAACUUGCCCCCUUACACUCAUCUGCUGGAGGAAUUCAGAGGAGGGCAGGAAAGGGUGGCAGGAAGGGCACUCACAUGAGAGGGAGCCUGUCAGGGGCCAGGAGGGCUGGAAGGAUUUGAGCAGAUGGGGGAAAAGGAGAGAAGUUAGGUUUGGAGCAGACCUCGGAGACCACCCAGAGCCUGAGUUGGCACUAAGAAGUCAUGGGAGCUUCUGAGCAGGACAGUGGCAGGCCCGAGGCAGGGCCACAGAAGGCAGCCCUGCAGUGAUGUGUAUAUACUGUGGUCCAAAACGGGAUGCCUGGAAGGUGCAGAGAGCUGAAGCUGCUACUCCAGCUGGGUCACUAUUGCAAAUGGCCAGAAGAGAACCGUGGAAGCCUCAGCUGGGACCAUUCAUUCAUUCAAUGCAUAUUGACUGUGUGCCUACUAUGUGCCAGGCACUUCUAGGCAUUAAUAAUACAGAGUGAAUAAAACAACCCCUGCCUCAUGGGAUUUACAUACUUGUCUGUUACUAGAAGGAAACAGACAAUAAAUAAAAUUAUUCAAGAAUCUCAAGCAGGCCAGAUGGUGAUAAAUGCUGUAGAGAGAAAUAAAGGGGACAGCACAUGCCAGGGUUGGGAUGGCAGUCUAAGAUUAUCCAAUUAGGCUUUAUUGAGGAGGUGACAUUUUAGCAAAGAUCUGAAAGAAACUAAUGAUGGUAGCGAUGGAAACAGGCAUAAAUGUGCCAGACCAAGGAGGCACAUCAUAAAGAAAUCAUUGUAAAAGGAGAGAGGAUGGGUACAUCAAAAAUCUCAGAAAUCACACCUAAACAACUUAUCCUGUAAAGUGGUGUUUGGGGAACAAACACCACUUGUUCCCCAAAAACUACUGGGAAAAAAAAAAGACUACCUUAAAAAAAAAAUUGAGGCCAGGCUCAUGCCUAUAAUCCCAGCAUUUUGAGAGGCUGAGGUAGGAGGAUCAUUUGAGACCAGGAGUUCGAGACCAGCCUGGGCAACAAAACAGGACCCCAUCUCUACAAAAAUAAAAGUAAAAAAAUUAGUUGAGUGUGGUGGUGCACGCCUGUCUUCGCAGCUACUCAGAAGGCUGAAGCAGGAGGAUUGCUUGAACCCAGAAGGUUGAGGCUAUAAUGAGCCAUGACUGUGCCAUUGCACUCCAGCCUGGGUAACAGAGCCAGAUCUGAUUUCAUAAAUAAAUAAAUAAAGAGAGAGACAGACAGAAUCUCACAAUUAUUUAGACAGUGAAUUGGAAAACAAUAGUUUUGGGUUAUAAAACCAAAACUGUAAAAUAGAAUUAAACUAAACUUGAAAUGUGUUUGACCUUUACGGUUUGAAAAGAGUCAGCUAAAUAUUUCAGCUAUUCUUUACUGGAUCUUAUGGAGGACAUUUUAUGCUAUAGUAGUAUUUGUAGUGUUUAUAACACUAGGGGAUUGAGAUGGUCUUAUCAGAGUGAAAUGAAUAGCAAAUAGAGACUGAUCAUAACAAUACACUUCAGAUUCCCCAGUUACUCCCAGUGCCUUAGUAAUGUACCUUUUUCCCUCGUGCUAUAAACAUUUAUCCUUGGCCCAGGCACAGCGGCUUACACCUGUAAUCCCAGCACUUUGGGAGGCCGAGGCAGGAGGAUCAACUGAGGUCAGGAGUUUGAGACCAGCCUGACCUACAUGGUGAAACCCUGUCUCUACUAAAAAUACAAAAAUUAGCUGAGCAUAGUGGCACACACCUGUAAUCUCAGCUACUCAGGAGGCUGAGGCAGGAGAAUCACUUGAACCUGGGAGGCAGACCUUGCACUGAGCCGAGAUCGCACUGCUGUACUCCAGCCUGAGCAACAGAGCAAGACUCCGUCUCAAAGAAAAAAAAGCAAAACAACAACAACCAAAAACACAUUUAUCUUCAAGGUCACAGAUCUCCCUCUGUAGUGGAUGCUGUGGUGAGCUGCCCAGAGACCCCUUCAGGAUGGAGUCACCAUUCCUUUUGCUACUGACAAUGGCAGAGCUGAUGGCUCACUGACAAAGAGAGACACUUGCCUAAGGACAGACCCCUCCACUUAUUGGUCAAUGAUCGGGGGAAGGUUACAAAGGUCAGGUCAUCUCAUUUCAAGGGGUGACAACUCUGAAGGGCCAGCCUAACUCUAGAGCAUCCUAUUAGAUUGGCUGAGAUCUGUACUACAAUCAAAUAGUGGUUCAACUCUUUCUCUGCCCAAUCUACUCCUUCAUGCUCCCAUAGAUGAUGAUCCCAAGGGCAUCCCCAAUAGACUUCUGCACACAAAUUCCCAUCUCAGGGCUGGCUUCCUGGGAACUCACCUUAAUAACACAUUGUUGAUACUUACCCUGUUUCAAUUACCUUCUGCCCCUGACCACCUUCCUUUAUGUAGACAAGUAUGGCUCGUCUUCCCAUUUAGAGUGUAACCUUCUUUGUAUGUCUUAGAGGGCUUAGCACAUGUCUUUGUACAUAGAUGACAGCCCAAAGUAUAGGCCGUGAACACCAUUCCUCUUCCAUCCAGAGAGACCAGUGAGAAUUCUGUCAGUGACACACCCCUAAUGCAUAGAAGGGGAGAGCUCAGGCCCACAAGUGUUUGUGCCAAACCAUUUAUCUAAAGCUGGUUUUGCUGGGGAUGCAGCCAAAACCCUCUCUUAUUCUUUGCCAGGAAGUGAAAGUCUUUCAUCACCACCUGGGAGGAAAAGGGGUUCAACGGCCCAGCAGAAACAAUGUCACAUCGUGAAUUUGGUACCAAACUCAGCUCUCAAUGCAACGAAUUUGAGAUUUAUUUUAAACGUGUGUUUCUCAAAGAGAAUAAUUUGAUGGGGGUAGGGGGAAGUAGGAACUCACUUUCAACAUAGUAAUCUUUUUUUAUAAAGCUCUGUGUGUAAUUGUUUACUUUUUAAAAAUAACAAAAUCUCAUAUUCAAUAUUUUUAAAUUGUGGAGGUAAUAGUUUAUAAUUAGGUGCUAAAUGGUGUGAUUAUAUUUAACUGAAAUGUUUUAACUUGGUGAAAAAGGGCCUAGCUCCUUUCCAAAGCUUCUGAGAGAGCAGGUUAGUUAUUCCCAGAGGAAGUAAACCUAUGUACUACUAGUAAAUCUCAGCUCUAUUAGAAAGGGCAGAAGAGUGUCCAACAGAAAGAACUUCUACUGGAGGAAGAGGUUUGCCUUAGAUAACUUAGGAGGAGGGCACAGGGAGAGAAGGGGAAGAGUGCCAGGAAAAUCCAAGAGGAGGCUGGCAGCUCUUAGAGGAAAACUAGGUAAAUUCCACACAUUGGAGUCUCCCAGAUCACCAGGGUGUCUUAGUCACUUCGGGAUGCUGUAACAAAAUUACCAGAGAAGUUUAUUUCUCUCCAUUCUAGAGUCUGGGAAAUCCAACAUCAAGGUGCCAGCUGAAAAGUUUCCUGGUGAGGGCACUAGCUCUGGUUUGCAGAUGGCCACCUUCUUGCUGUAUCCUCACAUGGUGGGGAACGAGAUCAUCUCUCUCGUGUUUCUUCCUUUAAGGGCACUAAUCCCGUUCAGGAGGGCUCCACACUCAUGUCCUAAUUACUCCCAAAGGUAUAACUCCAAAUACACCUAAUCUUAAAUGGGGGAUUAAGGCAAAAACAUGUGAAUUUGUGGAUGAAACAAACAUUCAGCCCAGAGCAAUGGAUACAAAGCAAAAACAAACAAACAAAAAACCAGUUUGCCUGUUACAUGAAUACAUUGUUAUAUAAAUAUUUGUUCUCUGUGUAGAACUUUGGUUCACAACCCUGGCUACACAAUAAACUACCUGAGUUUUUAAAAUAUCAGUGAACAGGCUCCAUUGCACACUAAUAGAAUCUGAAUCCCAAAGGGUGGGGGUGGGGGUGAGUAUUCAUGUUUUUUACAAACUCCAUAGUUAUCCUCCUGUGCCACUGACCUUGAAAAACCACUGGUUUAGAAUAUUUGUUGAGCACGGCUGAGAUGGAUAACUCCAGUUGUCCUCCUUCAUGUAAAGCUAAAAAGAUAGAGAGGCAUAGACUCCUUCCCUACUCUCUAUUGAUAUUUGGGUUUGUUAAAUGAAACAACUACUUUUAAUUGGUGGGGCAUUUUCCUCUAUAGUCUGGACAACUCAAACUUGCACCACAAAGCCCUUGCCAGAUGGCAGAAAGCAGGGCAUUGGAAGGUAUUUCCUCCCUGUUGAGUACCAGCUCCACUUCACCAGCCAACCCAUGAGACAGUGUUCUACAAUGCCACAAAGACAAAUAGCCACAUGCGUCUCCCAUGCACCCGGAUACCAUCUUGAAGGGAAGGGACAGAACUUUGAAAGAUAUUACAUUUCCUGAAGUUAUCAAAGCGAAGAAAACUGAAUUAUCUGAUGGGACAGUUAAAACUAUCGGAUUGGACUGAAAUGGCAAGAUGGAACUAAGCUUUAGUUCUUUUCCCACAUCCCAGCAAGAAGAAAGUAAAUCAGCUCUUCUAUAGACAAAAUAACAAAGCUCACAUUUUCUCUAUAUACAUAAGGAAAGGUAAGGGAUUUUGGACCCUGAAACAUGAGUUUAUGAAUAUACACAUGCGUACAUCCAUUUGCAUGUGCAUAUGUGGAUAUGCACAUUCACGCACUGUAGACCAAGGCAGAGAAAACUAGGACUUAAGAGUGCAGCCAACAGUGGGCUGCACCUGGCGUGUUCUGGGAUUCUGGUGGCAGAGAAGGAAUACCGGCUUCUUGGGAGCAAAUCCUGACAUACAAGUGUGGGAAAUGCGGCAAAAUGAAACUUGUUGAGCGCUGUUGACAAGACAAUUUUUCUGGGAACUAGUGCAGUCAUUCAGUGAGCCGGCCAGACAGAGCAGAGUUCAUUUCAGAUGUUUCUAUUGUCCCAGACAUGGGAGUUCUACUUGUCACCAUUUGGUGUCAGUAUUUUCUAUCCUAAAAGUCCUCUGGGUUAUAAAGCAAAGGCCCUGUUGGAGAAAGUCUGGAGUAUUUUACUGUGAAUAACUAACUUUAUUUCAGAAAAUUUUAAUAUUCCUUUUAGCCUUCACUGCUUUGUUUUCUGCUUUGUAAUGGUUUUUCUUUGUGCAGAAAAAAGGCAGCAUUCUCUUUAUCUGCAAAGGCAAACAUCAGAAUUACACCAUUCAUUCAUUUGACCAACAAAUCUUGAGGACCAGCAUCUUGUAACACAAGUCCCUCCACCUACAGAGCUUUUUGGAUUCUAGAGGGCAGCAUGCUCAGGGCAGAGGCAGCUGUUGGAGGCAGCAGUUCUGUAGAAAGAAAGGCUAGCCCUGGCUUUGAGCCUGGUUUUGCCACUUAGCAGCUAUGUGGCUGUGGGCAAUAAACUUAACCUCUCUGAGCUGCAGUCUCUUCAUACAUAAAACAUACAUAAUAAACACUUUUCUUCCAAUUUUAUCAUGAAAAUUAAAGAAGUUGAGGGAUGCGUAGGCAGAGCACAGGGGAUGUUUAGGGCAGUGAAGCUACUCUGUAUGACACUUAUAAUGGUCAUUAUACGUUUACCCAAACCCAUAGAGCAUACAACACCAAAAGCGAACCCUCCUGUGUAAACUACAGAAUUUGGGUGGCAAUGAUGUAUCAGCGUAGGUUCACCGGUUGUAACAAAUGUACCACUCUGGUGGGGGACGUUGGGAAUGGGGGAGGCUAUGCAUUUGUAAGGGCACAAGGUGUGUGAUAUAUCUCUUUACCUUCUGCUCAAUUUUGCCGUGAACCUAAAACUGCUCUAAAAAAUAAGUCUGUUUUUAAAAAUUGAAUGUGUUACAAUGGUAUGUUUGUUGCAGAACUAUUCACAACAGGAAAGAUAUGAAAUCAACCUAAGUGUUCAUCAAUGGAUGAUUGGUUAAAGAAAAUGUGAUAUAUAUUAUAUAUACAAUGGAGUACUACUCAGCCACGAAAAAAAGAAUGAAAUUAUGUCUCUUGCAGCAACAUGGAUGGAACUGGAAGCCACUAUCUUAAGUGAAUAACUCAGAAACAGAAAGUCAGAUACUGCAUGUUCUCACUUAUAAGUGGGAGCUAAAUCUUGUGUACACAUGGACCUAAAGAGUGAAAUAAUAGACAUUGGAUACUUGGAAGGGUGUGGGACAGAGGGGGAGAUAUUAUAAAAUUACUGAAUGAGUACAAUAUAUACUAUUCAGGUAAUGGCUACACUAAAAGCCUGGGCUUUUUAUAACUAUUAUAUCCAUGUAACAAAACAACACUUACACCCCCUAAAUCUAUAGAAAAAUUUAAAUAUUAAAAAUGGAAAAUGUUACUUGCAUUCAUAGGUACAUAUUAUAUAGCUGUUUAAUGUGUAGGUAGAGGCUGCUCUGGUUGUGUAGUCUUCCAGCUCUGGACUGUGCCAAUAGCAUGGGGUUUGGAGUCAAAUCCAAGUUCUAUCAUUUACACUUGAUGGCAUUUUGAUGACAGAUAAUUUGCUUAAAUCCUCUAUAUGUGCAUUUAAAUUUGUAUAGCUAUUGCCAAUCUGCAAAUUGCUCUCCAUUGACAAUGUACCAGUUUACACUCAGAUUACACACCGGAGAGGUGAUGGGCCUGUUGUCUCACGCUCAUCACACAUGGUGUACUGUCAAACUUUGGGUUGCUUGCAAAUAUGAAAUGUAGAAGAAGCUAUCCCAGUGGAGUUUUCAUUUGCUUUUUCUUCAAUAUGAGUGAGGUUGUGCAUCUUUUCAUCUAUUUGAGGGCUACGAGUAUUUCUAUAAACCAUCCUUUCUAUCUUUUGCUUAUUUUUUAUUGGGUGUGUGUGUUUCCUUAUUGAUUUGUGUGAUUUGCUUAUAUAUGACAAAAUUAGUCUUCUUCCUGCGUAUAGGUUUCAAAUACUUCCCCCGAUUUGUUUUCUGAUUUCUGACUUGGUUAAUGGUGGUGACUUUUAAACAUGCAGAUCUUUUAAAUGUAGUCAAAUAUAUCAAUCUUAUUCUUUAUGGCUUCUCUGUUUGUGUCAUACUUAGCCCUUUCCAACUCAGAGAUUCUAAACCCUAAGCAGCAGCGGGUGGGAUGGGGUGGAGUGGGAUGGUGAGGGAUGGGAAUGAUGUUCUCUUCUAGGUUUUUUAGGGAUUUAUUUUCACAUUUAAAUCUUUAAUCCACUGGAAUUUAUUUUUGUGUAACAAGUGAGGUAUUGGAUCCAAGUUUCUCUUCCCCCAAGUAGCUUCCUACUUGUCCUAGAUUCUUUUAUUAAAUAAUCCAUAUUUUCUCCACUUAUUUAAAACCUAGUUAACUUUUGAAAGAAUACACGAAGGUCCAUGACUUCUAAAUUUGGCAGCAGGAGGAUGUCUAAGCUGCAGAAUGUUAGAGGAGGCUCUUAGCUCUUUCUGAAUUGUAUCUGUUGUUAUUUGGAAAAAGAAGAAAUAAAAGUGCAUUGAUCUGAAAAUUCAAUUCAACAAAUAGCUGUGUGGGAGAGUGGAAAGAACACAGGCUCUUAAGUUAGAAAACCUGACUUCACUUCUCAUAUUCACUAAUUGUGGGGAAGUCAUGCAACUGCUGUGUGCCUCAGCUUUCGCCUCUGUAAAAAUGGACCUAAUAAUGGCAUCUAUGCCAUAAUAUGCUGUGCAGUUAAAGUGCAUUGGUGCUUUGUAAACUGUACAGGACUACAGGCACAUGAGUUGUUAUCUGAAUUUUUACAAGGUGGUACAGCAUUGCCAGUUAACUUAUACAACACAAUUCUAGAUUUGUGAAUGUUUCACCAUUCUUGAAAUCCUUUCAGCUUCUUUGAAGAUGAUUAGCUUCUUUCUCCUUGCUGGGGAGUAUUCUGGGUUUGCUAUUUUUAGUUUGCUUAAAUGUGUUUUCUGACAGCAUCUGAGUGGCAGUGGGGGGUUGGUAGGAAAGGAAGAGGUGACCGGGAAGUUACAAUCAUCCACUGGGUUUCGAGGGAGAGGGAGCUGAGGCCGCACCUGGAAGAAUGAUCUGGAAGGAGGUAGAAAAUAGGAAACCAUAGGGAGAGUGAAUUAGCUUAUUUAGAAUCUUGUAUAUAUAAUGAUUACCUAGUUAAACUUUUGUUUUAUAAUUUAUAGCAAAGUUUUGUGGACAGUACAGAACAAUGGUGAGAGUCAGUUAAUGCAGUGAUCGAAUCACAAUCCCUCUUCUUAUUAAUAGUUAUUUAACCUCUCCAAAGCCUUUUUCUCAUCUGUGCCCAAGGGAUUAUAAAGAUUGAAUGAGACAACAUUCAUUUCUCAUGCUCAUGUGACUCUAGAUAGGUUGGAGUGGGCAAUUGAGAACAAAGUGUAAAUUCAUGAUGGUGACUUGUGUUUCCCCUUGGGAGAUGCAGUAGAAACCGUCUGCAAUCGAGAGGUGCAACUGGAAUCUGGACACUCACUCUUCCCCAUCCCAUAGACAAAUGCUCUACCUCACUUCAAAGGCAACAGAAGCCUAGGAGGAAGAAGACGCCUCUAAUACCCUGUCAAGUUUGCAAGAAAGGAUAUGGGAUGAUGACUCCAUUAUCACAGGGGAAGGAAAAGUGUCCAGAUGACAAGGGGUGGGGACAAUGAGUGGGGGCUUAAGGGGGAGGGGGCAUCCAUGGGACCAGCAGAAGGAUUGGGAGAAAGUGAAAACAGAUAUGUGUCACUAAUUGAAGAAAAAUGUGACUGUGAUUUAAUUUGUUGGAACCAGAAAAACCUGCUCUUCAGAGUUCUCUUCUGCAAGCCUGGCCUUAUCAAUACAUCAAUCUGGUCAUCCAUCCAUCACAUGGUGGCUGCUGUCAAUCAUGGUUCCCUGCGCUGGAGCCCUCCACACACAGUAUUACAAAUGCUCCCAGCCCUGAGGGAAAGGUGGCUCUAAAAUUCCUUUUCUGUUGAGCACAUUUUGCGUAUGCUUAUUAAGUUUUAAAAAUUUGAAAACAAGUUACCCAAAACACCCCACUCAUCAGUUGGUCAUGGUGCUGUAACGAAUUACAACAAUAUUUUCUCUCUGUCAAUGAUGGUAAGUGAAUUCUCAGGAAGUAUACUGGAAACCAGCACAGGAUACUUUGGCCUUUUUGAUGGGGGUCACGUGAUUUAAUUUUCAUGGUGAAUUUUGGUUAAUUCUAUACUAGUCUAGAGAAUUGUACGUGUGUCCGUGUGUGUGUGCUCUCAUGAAUAAAAACCCACCCACAGAGCCCGCUCCAUGGACCUGGACCUGUGCAGUCACAGAGGGCCCUACAUUCAGAAGACUCUCACCUUGUCUCACAAUUUGAAGAAGGGGACUCACAUCUUCAUUUUGCACUGGAUCUCACAACAUACACAGCCAGUCCUGCUCUCCAUGAAAUAUUGGACUUUGUUCAAAAACACAAGCAAGUUUUUAUGUUUUAAUUUAAUUUAAUUUAUUUAUUUAUUUAGAGAUGAAGUUUCGCUGUGGAGUGCAGUGGCCUGAUCUCGGCUCACUGCAACCUCUGCCUCCUGGGUUCAAGUGAUUCUCCUGCCUCAGCCUCCCGAGUAGCUGGGAUUACAGGCGCCUGCCACCAGGCCCGGCUUAUUUUUUGUAUUUUUAGUAAAGAUGUGGUUUCAUCAUGUUGGCCAGGCUGGUCUCGAACUCCUAACCUCAGGUGAUCCACCCACCUCGGCCUCCCAAAGUGCUGGGAUUACAGGCAUGAGCCACCAUGCCUGGCCACAAGCAAGUUUUAAAAAAUUUGAUAGUUAUCAGUAUUAUUAAAAUACCUACCAUUCAGGGAUAUAGAAAAAUCAUAUACCAAUGCACACAGGGAAAAAUGCUUCAUCAUGCCAGUAUACACAAACGUCAUGAAUCUUGAAAGAACAGCAGUAAAGAAAUGGUUUUGUUUUGAAAGGAUAAAAAAACUAUAGUUAAUUUUUUUUUGUUUGGGAGUAUUAAUUCUCACUAUAUCAUAUCCUGCUGUUAGAGGAAGUGAGAGAGAAAUGAAAAGACUGAGAACAGAAGAUCAGUCAAGGGUGUAGAAAAGAAACAGGAAUCAAGGAGUGGGAGAUUGAAACGAAUCAAGCACUAAGCCCUGUCGUCUUCUUUUGAUGCAAAAAAGCAAUUUGCAUGGUCACUCCUUCUGAUGGGGUCACCCUGAUACUGAUUUAUCGGGGACACAGUUUAUGUACUAUCUUCACAGCAUGCUUUUAAAAUUUUUGUUCAUCUGGGCUUGCUUUGAAAGAGACUAGAAACCUCACCGUGGAGAUCUCUUUGGGUUGCUGGACUCAAAGUAAAACCAAGCUGUGCAGGAGGCUUUGAUCUCUGAACUUUCCCUAUGGUUGCAGGCUUGCCUUAAUCUGUAAUAAUAAAGUUUUAAAAAUAAGUUAACCUCUUUUCUUAUAUUGUGCAAAUAUAUCUUUCUCCACUAAAGUUUCAGUGUUGCUUUUCUUUUGUGGCCCCUGCCAUUUCUUUCACCUUUUCUUUUAAACAGAUACAUGUUCACUAAAAAAAAAGACUCUGUUGCUUUAAGAAGAAAAAAGUUACACUCGGUCAGUCUGAAAAUGCAACACCUGGCACCCAUAUUUAGAAAUGUUAAAACACACACACAUACAUACACACACACAUUAGCCUUUGGCACUGAACUGUGCAAAACAUUACAGGAAGCUCAUUGCUUAAGGGCAGUUGAGUUUAAUCAUUUAUUUGUAAGUCAGUUGUUUGGUACUUAAAAGCACUUUUUCCCAUAGAAGCAAAGCUAUAAACGGUGUUUUGGUCCCCAGGCUCAAAAGACUGUUGGAGAAACGUCUGCCCUGGAGAUGAAAAUAGAAAAUGAUUCUGUGCUGAUACAGUAAUUGAGCCAAAAAGAAAAGCUAACAAAGCAAGGAAUGGUUGGCCUUGAAUGCUUAUACUGGAAGAGGAAUGGAUUUCACCUGAUGUCGUGGUGGAGGCAGCUGGGGAUUUCCAAGGUGCCUGUGGGUCUUUCCAAUGGCCCAGGCUCUUUGUGUGUUCAGUUUAAAGCCUGGGCAUGUUCUUCAUCCUCCACACCAGUCUGCAUUCAGCAGUGCUUUUGUGUCGCUCCCGUGUUUGGGUUCUAUUUUGGCUCAGAAUGGUAAAGAGAGUGAGAGAGGAAGGGAAAUCUUUCUAGGGUGUCUAGGGUGUUGGAAAAAGGGUGGAGUAAAGGAACCCAGGUGACCUUGUGGUACCUUAGCUCUGUGUUCCUUUGGAAUGGAACAUCUUCUCUGUGCUCCUCUAGCCACACAGGAAACCUCCUAUUUGGAUGUAAAGGUCCAGCUCACUUAUGUCCUCUUCUCUGGGAGUCUGUCCCUAAUUUUCUGAACUUCCCCAGUGCAGCUUUUCCAUAUGUCUGUGAAAGCACACUUUACAUCAUUUGGUUAUUAUUUAUUUGUAUAUGUCUCCUCCAUUUGACUAGGAACCCCUCAAAAGGAAGAAAUAAAUUCAUUUUUAAAAAAAUCUCAGGAACCUACACAACCUAUAAAUGCAUGCUCCAUUCAUCUAAGUUGGAGCCAAGCUGUGAGCAUGAAAAAAAAAACAGGCCUGAGGGAGAAGAGAGCGGGGACAUCAUCCCACCAAAAAGAGAGGUUGGGGGUUAUGGGGAAGAGAUCUGCACCAGAACCUGCCCAUCUCACCCCAUUUACCAGAGCUUCAUUGGUCCAGAACCACAUGCCUCUUAUCAAUGAGGAAUGAAAGAAGGAGCCCUUGAGACCAUGUGUAAGCUACUGCUUGACAACUAUGGUGGAUAUACUUUGACGUUUCCCCAGCAGCCAUUUUUCCCUUCUUCCGGUGACAUCUCCUGAUAGUCAUGGAGUGAUCACCCUAAAUAUAGAGGCUUGGGUGUGUACUAACCUAGCUCUAGGAUGGAGGAUAGGGUAUUACUUUCCCUCUGGCUUUGGUGUUUGGCUCAGAGAUGGAAAGACAGACAAAAUAUCCAAUCAGGGUGAAUCUCAUUACUUUUGAGGGUGCCAUCUUUAUCCUGCUGUACUUGAACCUGAGGGGCUGUGAGUCCGGGGCAGCUGGAAUGGUGGUGGUGAAUAUUUAACAACUGGCUCUCAAAAAACAACUCUGAUUUGUAGCAUUUGCCAAUUCGUGUGGUGGAAACACUUCCAUCAUGCUGAUUUCAAGCUCUAACAUAAUGUUGCUGACCAUUAUAGUAUUUCCAUUGUAGACAUAAGUACAAUAGAUGAAACUCACCUCAAGAGCAUAGAAAAUAUAAAAUGUAAAAUAGGAAGACAUGAAUUUUGAGUAUUUAUAGCAUUUUAAAAAUAUAAUUUAUUGAAUUAUAAUCUUAUAUGAUUUACUGUUUUCAAAUAAUGGCUGUGUUAACAAUAGAUUCACAAACUUUCUGCAAAUUUAACAAUUUUCUCUGAAUAGUUGAUAUGAGCUAGAUCCAGCAGCACACUGAGCCAGAGCCAGCUGGCCACCUUUAAGGAAUAAAUUAGCUACGACUCACAGAGAGUGAAAAAAAUGGUCCUAGCCAUAGCGUUUGGUUCCUAAACUCUGCAGCCUGCUCAGAUGCAGCACAUUUGGAUAUACCAACAAUUUCCUUUCUUUUUUAAUCCAGCCUGAGUUGGGCUUUCUGUUACUUGCAGUUAAAAGAGUCCUAAAUGAAACACAAAUAUUUUUUAUAUGUUUGACAUUUGUAAGUAAAACUACCAUCUUACAGUAUAUAGCGGGUUUGAUGCAGGACAGGCAAGCCCUCAAAUUGGGGCUUAGCCUGGGAGCCUUCUUGGCAUCACCUAGGAAAGAAUUCAAGGGUGAGCCAGUGGUGUUAAACUGCAACUUUUAUUGAAGCAGCGGUGUACAGCAGCAGCAGAGGUUCUAUGCCAUAGGCAGUGUGCCCAGAGCAUCAGCUCAGAGAUAGUGCAGCAUUCAUAUUUAUGCCCACUUUUAGGGGCGGUUUAUGCAGAAAUUUCUAGGAUGAGGAUGGUAACUUCCAGGUUGUCAGGUCAUUGCCAUGGAAAGGGGCAGUAACCUUUGAGUGUUGCCAUGGCAACUGUAAACUGACACAGCACACUGUUGGGCGUGCCUUAGCGGGAGGUGCUUCUGCCACUCACCUGUUUUAGCUAGUCCCUCAAUUUGGUCUGGUGUCAGAGCCCCGCCUCCAGGGUCCAGUCCCACUUCCUACCCCAGGUUGAAUGAUAGUCCUCCAAAAGAUAAGUCUACUGCCUAACACUUAGAACCUGUGAAUGUGACAUUUUUUGGAAAGCGAGUAUUUGCAGAUUUGAUUAUAUUAAGGAUGCCAAUUUGAGAUUAUCCUGGAUUAAGUGGGUGGGCCCUAAAUUCAGUAACAAGUGUCCUGAUAAGCAACACAGAGGAGAGACUUGGAAAGAAGUGAGAAGACCAUGUAAAGACAGAGGCAGGGAUUUGAGGUAUGCAGCCACAAGCCAAGGAGUGGCUGGAGCCACAAGGAGCUGGAAGAGACAAAGAAGGAUUCUUCUCCAGAGCCUUUGGAGGAAGCAUGGCCCUACUGACACCUUGAUUUCAGACUUCUGGUCUCCAGAACUGUGAGACAAUAAAUUUCUGUUUUUUUAAGUCA